CUUGGUGAGGAGAGAGACCAGACAACUGCUCCUUUGUUGCCUCUCCUUCAAACCUAUGACAUCUUGGGCAUGAAUAAUGCGCUAGACCCACUCAGAUGGCCUUGAAGGACUGCAUGAAAGAAAUCCUUCUAGGAGGCAGAAGUUCAAGCAUGCAUCUGGGUUUUUGCUUUAUCUAAAAGAAAAGAUGGUAUGAGGUGUAGAUCUGUAUUAUGUCAUUCCAAGUAGCUGAAAUUUUGGCCAAAUGAUCAGGAACUUGGAAGAAAUAAAGCUGAAGAAUUGUUGACUAGAA